GACGUAGGGCGCGAGCGUUGUCCGGAUUUAUUGGGCGUAAGAGCUCGUAGGCGGCUUGUCGCGUCGACUGUGAAAACCCGCGGCUCAACUGCGGGCUUGCAGCCGAUACGGGCAGGCUAGAGUUCGGUAGGGGAGACUGGAAUUUACGGUGUAGCAGUGAAAUGCGUAGAUAUCGUAAGGAAGACCAGUGGCGAAGGCGGAUCUCUGGACAGUUACUGACACUGAGGCACGAAGGCCAGGGGAGCAAACGGG
rnacentral:rRNA from 1 species